rnacentral:rRNA from 1 species
UACGGGGGGGGCAAGCGUUGUUCGGAAUUACUGGGCGUAAAGGGCUCGUAGGCGGCCAACUAAGUCAGACGUGAAAUCCCUCGGCUUAACCGGGGAACUGCGUCUGAUACUGGAUGGCUUGAGUUCGGGAGAGGGAUGCGGAAUUCCAGGUGUAGCGGUGAAAUGCGUAGAUAUCGUAAGGAAGACCAGUGGCGAAGGCGAGUCUCUGGACAGUUACCGACGCUGAGGCACGAAGGCCAGGGGAGCAAACGGG